rnacentral:lncRNA from 1 species
AGAACCCGCCCCCUUUGCCGGAACUAUCGCAUCUUCCAACGGAAAUCUAGUUGCCAAAAGAGGUGGAAAUGCGUCAUUGGCUAGAGAUCCCAUCAGAUCUGGAGCUGCUGGCCUACGCCACAGCCACAGCAACACCAGAUCCAAGCCGGUUCUGCGACCUACACCACAGCUCACAGCAACGCUGGAUCCUUAACCCACUGAGCGAGGCCAGGGACCGACCCCUCGUCCUCAGGGAAUGCUAGUCAGGUUCAUUACCGCUGAGCCAUGACGGGACCUCCUGCAUUUAGAUUUUUAGCGAACAUCUACUUCGCGCCUCACCUCAAGUCAGUUGCUGGGGAGAAGCAGAAAGGAGGCGUGGGCUGGGCUAGUGCGCAGGUGGACUCAGCCCACCCCUAGUGAGGCUCCCUGCCUGGACUUCUGGGAGAGGCUUGAAUGAGCCUUGAAGGAGAUACCUGACUAUCAAAGGAGGGGGCGAAACAGCAUCCCGAGCCAAGGAAAUGACAUUGUGAAAGCCUCCAAGAUGUUUGGGGUUCAUGACUCCUUGGCACAGUUAAGGCCUGGGGUCCACGGGACAGUCGGGGGAGAGAUGAAGUGAUGAGGCCGAAACCAGAGCAGCGGCUGACUGCACCUCAGGAGUCUGCGGGGGAAGGACUUUGUGGACGUGGCGAUUAUCUCAACUGUUUGUGGGGCAAUCACAGGAGCAUCUGGGGAGAAAACUGGCCCCAGAAGGAAAAGGGCUGCAGGCGGGAAGACCAGAAAGGAUGCUGUUCAGAUGGCCCAGGUGAAAGCCAGUGAGGGCCUAGACUGAGCAGACGUGGUGGGAUGGAGGGGCCCCAGGAGACAGCUCUGGAUUUGGCAGUUGCGGGGGAGGAGCUAGAACAUUGUGCUUUUACAAGAGUGGGUUAUUUAUCCAAAAACAAACAAAACAAAACAACAGCAACAACAGGGCAUUGCCGCAAGCUGUGGUGUAGGCUGCAGAUGUGGCUCGGAUCCAGCGUGGCUGUGGCUGUGCCGUAAGCCAGCAGCUGCAGCUCCGAUUCGAGCCCAGGAACUUCCAUAUGCCU